rnacentral:rRNA from 1 species
CCUACGGGAGGCAGCAGUGAGGAAUAUUGGUCAAUGGUCGGGAGACUGAACCAGCCAAGCCGCGUGAGGGAUGAAGGUACAGAGUAUCGUAAACCUCUUUUGUCAGGGAACAAAGGCGGGGACGUGUCCCCGGAUGAGUGUACCUGAAGAAAAAGCAUCGGCUAACUCCGUGCCAGCAGCCGCGGUAAUACGGAGGAUGCGAGCGUUAUCCGGAUUUAUGUGGGUUAAAGGGUGCGCAGGCGGUCUGUUAAGUCAGCGGUAAAAGCCCGGGGCUCAACCCCGGACCGUCGUUGAAACUGGUAGUCUCGAGUUGGAGAGAAGUAUGCGGAAUGCGCGGUGUAGCGGUGAAAUGCAUAGAGAUCGCGCAGAACUCCGAUUGCGAAGGCAGCAUGCCGGCUCCACACUGACGCUGAGGCACGAAAGCGUAGGUAUCGAACAGGAUUAGAUACCCUAGUAGUC